rnacentral:rRNA from 1 species
ACGAAGGGACCUAGCGUAGUUCGGAAUUACUGGGCGUAAAGCGCGCGUAGGCCGUUGAGUUAGUUAAUUGUGAAAUCCCAAAGCUUAACUUUGGAACUGCAAUUAAAACUGCUCGACUAGAGUUUGAUAGAGGAAAGCGGAAUACAUAGUGUAGAGGUGAAAUUCGUAGAUAUUAUGUAGAACACCAGUUGCGAAGGCGGCUUUCUGGAUCAACACUGACGCUGAGGCGCGAAAGUAUGGGUAGCAAAGAGG